rnacentral:lncRNA from 1 species
GCACAAGAAGCACACUUCGUUAUAUUUAAAAGAAUAGUGGUUCCGGAGAUGGCAAAACCCACUUCAAGGAAAAUAAGAAUCACAAUAAAGUCUUACAGGAGCUGAAGGACAAAACAGCCAGUAUAAAAAAGAACCUAGUGAGUCUGAAAGAGCUGAAUAAAGCAAUAUAAGAAUUUUACAAUGCAAUCACAAGUAUUAACAGGAGAAUAAACCAAGCUGAGGAAAAAAUACCAGAAUUUGAAGACUGGUUCUGUAAAAUAAGACAGUCAGACAAAAAUAAAGAGAAAAAUAAAAAGGGAAGAACAAAACCUCCAAGAAGUAUGGGAUUAUAUAAAGAGGCCAAAUCUGUGAAUCAUGGAUAUCCCUGAAAGCAACAGGGAGAAAACAAAAAACUUGAAAAACAUUUCAGGAUAUCAUCCAUGGAAGCAUCCCCAACCUUGUUACAGAGGCCAACAGUCUCAUUCAAAAGAAUACAGAGAACUCUGAGAGAUUCUGCACAAGAAGAUCAUCCCUGAGAGACAUAAUUGUCAGAUUUUCCAAGGUCAAAAUAAAAGAAAAAAUGUUAAGUGCAGCGAGAGAGAAAGGACAGGUCACCUGCAAAGGGAACCCCAUCAGGCUAACAGCGAUAUCUCUGCUGAAAUCCUACAAGCCAGAAGAGACUGGGGGCCUAUAUUCAACAUUCUUAAAGAAAAAAAUCUUCAGCCAAGAAUUUCAAAUCCAGCUAUACUAAGCUUCCUAAGUGAAGGAAAAUAAGAUCCUUUCCAGAUAAGCGAAUGUUGAGGGACUGCACUAUCACUCGACAUGCCUUAAAAGAGAUCUUGAAAGGAGCACUAAAUGAAGAAAGGAAAGCCCACUACCAGCUAGUAUGAAAACACACUUAAACACAGAGACCUGUGUCACUGACAAGCCGACAUUAUAACCAGAGUCCAAAUAAAUUAAAGUUGUGAUUUUAAAUAACUGCAAAUCAAUGAUUCCAAAAAUGUUAUCUGUGGCCCAGACCUGGACUCCUGAUGUGUCUGUACAGCUCCAUCUGGAAUCUAACAAGUGUAUCAACUCUUGCUCAUCUGAAACUGAAAGUAAACUCCACGAAGACUGGACUCUGCUGUGUUGUUGCUGUAUUGCCGCAUCUGGAAUGGCACCUGACAAGGGUUAG